rnacentral:lncRNA from 1 species
AUGCUCUUUAUGGGGGCUUUGGAACAACUCUGUAAAAACAUUUAUAUUUUUGGUGACUACCUAACAUACCCAACCAAUGUGGCCACUUGCAUAUUUUUUAAAACAAUAGUUGUUUCUUUCCAAACAGAGUGUGAUGUCACACGAUGCGAAUCCAGUCGGAUUCGAGACAGAGGCAACUAUGGGAGUCUGCUGCCCAACGUAUCAAUGCACCUGGUGCCAAUGUUCCUGGGGACAAGUGUAAGAAUUGUGUGUGUGGUGACAGUGUGGAUGCCCAAAGCCAUCUACAUAUCAUUGAGUGUCAAACUACUGAAUGUGACACUCACUGCCAGCAGGGCUAUGAUCAUCAAGCCGUUCCUGGGCAGCGUUAUGGGAAGUGUGUACAGACAAGCUGUGUGGUUAUGCUGCCAGAUAAUACCACACACACUAUUCAGGUAAAAUAGCAUCAGGCAGCAUUAUUUAUCUCUCACAGAUUCCCAAAUUGUAUAUACAAUUUAUCAGUCCUAUUUCAUUCGAUUAUUUAAAAACACCAACAUUUAAUAUUACUAUAGUAAUAAAGUGUUAUGCAAAAUCACUAUCUUAGCAAUGAUAUAGUAUAUCUUAUCUUACAUCAUUUGAAGAAUCUCCUGUUGAUAUCUUUCAUAUUCUCACCUCAACAACCUGGUUCCGUCUGGAUACCAUCUGGAGACAAGUGUCUCAAGUUUGAGUGCGUAAAGAUUAUGGGCCAACUCAUCCCAAUUGAGGCUAAGACCGUGUGCCCUUGACUUCCACCCAGAAGAUUGCCUACCUGUGAGUGACAAUAACUAUCUGGCAAAUUAUCUUAAAUGAGAAG